UCCACUUUUCCUUCUGCCUCUGAGCAAGAUGAAGAAAAAAAGAGGAAGCUGUUUUCCAGAGACCAGCACUUCAUCCCUGAGAAAAUGUCAAGAUUAUAGGCAUGCUCUAUAGAAGAUAAUGAGUUAAUACCGGGGCAGCAUACUAAAACGGUAAAUGGAAAGGCCAUGUUUUUUGAGUGACACCAUUAGAGUAAAAACUAGCCAGA
rnacentral:lncRNA from 1 species